CAACCUCUGACGAAGGACGUGAAUGUUG
rfam:Flavobacteriaceae bacterium 3519-10, complete genome.